ensembl:lncRNA
GACACUGUUAAGGUUCCUUCUUGCUUUUGCUACCUUGUGCGCACCACGUUGUUUCUCCUCGGCGAGCCCUGUUUGUCAUCCCAGCCUUGGAUCCAGCCAAUUAUGGACUGAAACCUCUAUGAACUAUAAAAAUGGUUGACUGCAGGUAACUGAAGAUGACUCAACAUGAUACAUUUUUAUGAACAAAUCAUUAGAAGGGUCUUGCUCCGCAGUUCCGAUAAGCCAUGAAUUUGUGAUCCUCCUGCCUCAGCUUCCAAGUGCUAUAAGUAUAGUUUGCAUCAUCACACUCAGCUUUUUGUUGAGCUCUUUGGAUGGAAAUUCUUACAUGUUGGACAACUUUUGCAGCUUUUGAUCACCUGGAAAUAUGUUCAAUUUACUGCCAUUAUCCUUUUCCAAAUCAUGAACACAGGCAAGAGCACAGGACUGGAGAACAGAGUGACAAGCAGAUCACAGCAGAUUUCUCUGUGUGUUAGUGUGGAUAAACACUUAUGUAUAUGUACUAACUCACAUUUCACCAAAUUGGCUUGACUUUAUCAACAUUUUCUUUCAAAUUUAUUACUUGCAAACAUUUUGGUAAAAUGUUCAUGCAUUAUUUCUCCUGAGAUGUGAUGACUGGACCAGUACUUCUUACAUGUACCCCUCCGUGAUUCAACUACUACCUGUGGAAAACAACAAGCAAGCAAACCAGCAAACAAACCAGUGAAGCAACCAAAUAACUGGCUACAAUUGCUUAGUGAAAAGAGAACCAAAAGUCUAUGUCAUUAGCUACUUAUUAAUCUUUGGGCAAGUUACUUUAUUCUUAAAUCUCACAUUUCUUGUAAAAUCAAGAUAAGAAAAAUUCCAUAGCUAAAAGCAUUGGUGCUAUGGACUGUAAAUGUCUUUGAAUAUUUUGACCAAACACUUUAAAAGAGAUGGUGAAUAUCUUUCAAAAUCAACUUUCUACCAGGAUUUUCAAACUUCAAAAUGCACCAGCAUUAUCCAGAGACUUACUAAAACACAGAUGGCUGGUAACCCAGAAUUUCUGAUUAAAUAGGUCUGCCAAGAAUCAUCCUGUCUUACAAUUUCUUAACUCUUUUUGAUGUUGCUGGCAGGUGCACUGUACUUGGGGAACCACUGGGGAGAUGUGGAGAACAGUUAUAUGUAGACUACGAAGGACAGUGAAAGAAAUGGAUACCUUGACUAAGAUACUGACUGGUGACUGAUCAGAUAAGGAACAAGAAAGCGUGGCUGUGUGUGGCUCAGUGGCAGAAGCAUGCCUAGCUCAAGGCAUGUGUCUUGAUCCCAACAGCAGGGGCAAGAGGAGGAAGAGGUUUUUGGUUCUAAGUUCAGAUUUGAAAGACAUGAUGCUCAGAGUGUGCAGGACCACCAGAGGACACAGAUGACUUUCACAAGUUGAGUCUCUACUAUCGACUGGAAAGACACAUACAUGCAGGGACUGUCAAGACUUCACGUCUCACUAUCAAAACUGGAGAAAAGAAGGGACAAAGCUAAGAAAGGCCCAAGGAAGACAUAGAUGAACUAAGAAAGCAUAAGGAACUGGACAAGUAAGAGUCAACAAGAUGGCCAAGGAAAUAUACAAACAAAAAGGAAAAAAAAAUCUAGAAAAC